AUUAGUGCAAUAUAUCCUGAAAGCCUAUCACUUUAGAAAUCUGUGUUUAUAGAUAGCAAAGAAAAGAUUUGAGGGUAGCAAAAUUGAGAAAGAAACAGGCACGUGGAGGGCUCAGGAUGAUGAACAUCUCUUUUUGACAGAUGAAGAGCUUCUCCCUCCCAGGAGCCAACGCUGUCCCUCUCCCAGUGGUUGUGCCAUGGAGACAACUCCUGGAGACGUGUCCUCUACCAAAUUGAUGCCACGCGACCAGCUCUUGGCGGGGCUGGACUGGAUGCAGAUCUUCUGAGUCUCAGCCGCACACUUUCUCCAACACCUCUGAACUUUGAGAUGAAUGAAAAAUACUGUAUGUACAUGAAACAGAAGCUCUAUUCUAGGUUAGCCCAUGGAUCCAAAUGGUUUGAUCGUGUGUGCACAUGCACGUGGGUUUUGGAAACCUUUAGCAGUCAGUGGCCUUUGCUCCUUUGGCUUCUGUUCAUUUUAAAAUUGCAAGCAAGAAUCAUUGACCUGAGCGUAGCAUCUGUUGAGACCCAGCCAUAGAGCUAACCAGGGUGCCUGAAGAUUUCCUCCUCCAAUGCUCUUGGCUUGAUUCUUUAAGCUCACCUCAGCAUUCCUCAGGGCGGCAGAACUUCGAGAGGCACCACUCAAAAUUGUACUCAAUAUAAAUGUCAGGAGGCAACCGUUCCAGGAAUUCCUUCACACACAAUAAAUGUGGAUAAUGCCCUCUGAAGUUGUCCA
rnacentral:lncRNA from 12 species